rnacentral:rRNA from 1 species
UACGUAGGCAGCAAGCGUUGUUCGGAGUUACUGGGCGUAAAGGGUGUGUAGGCGGUUGUUUAAGUUUGGUGUGAAAUCUCCCGGCUCAACUGGGAGGGUGCGCCGAAUACUGAAUGACUCGAGUGCGGGAGAGGAGAGUGGAAUUCCUGGUGUAGCGGUGAAAUGCGUAGAUAUCUGGAGGAACACCGGUGGCGAAGGCGGCAUCCUGGACCGGUAUUGACGCUGAGGCGCGAAAGCCAGGGGAGCAAACGGG